rnacentral:piRNA from 1 species
UNGGUGUGUCUGACAGAAACCUAGGUCCAC